rnacentral:rRNA from 1 species
GAUCCUGGCUCAGGACGAACGCUGGCGGCGUGCUUAACACAUGCAAGUCGAACGGAGUGCUCAUGACAGAGGUUUCGGCCAAUGGAUUGAGUUACUUAGUGGCGGACUGGUGAGUAACGCGUGAGGAACCUGCCUUUCAGAGGGGGACAACAGUUGGAAACGACUGCUAAUACCGCAUGACACAUCGGGGGGGCAUCCCUUUGAUGUCAAAGAUUUUAUCGCUGAAAGAUGG